rnacentral:rRNA from 1 species
UACGUAGGGUCCGAGCGUUGUCCGGAUUGACUGGGCGUAAAGCGCGUGUAGGCGGCCAGGUAGGUCCGAUGUGAAAGCCCACGGCUCAACCGUGGAGGGUCAUUGGAAACUGGGGAACUUGAGUGCAGAAGAGAAGAGCGGAAUUCCACGUGUAGCGGUGAAAUGCGUAGAGAUGUGGAGGAACACCAGUGGCGAAGGCGGCUCUUUGGUCUGUAACUGACGCUGAGGCGCGAAAGCGUGGGGAGCAAACGGG